GUACAACUAUGGAGCGUAUGUCCACAUAUAAUUGUACAAUUUGUUUUUCCAACAUAAAAGACAAGAAAUGAUCACAUUGGUAUUUUAACAGUGUUAUUGUAAGAGUUUAAAUGUUUAAACAGAGGAUACAUCUAAAACAGGAUAAAACAAGUGCAGUAUGUUGUGAGAAUGUUACUUUAACGUCGACUCAUAACGUCACACUAUAACUUCAUGGGAGUCUUGUGGAAAGACUGCAUGUUGUUUUGGGUGGAUUGAGUGACGUCUUCAUCAACAUUUUGCAGAAUAUUCCGGUAAUAUGUUCACCUCUUGUCGGCUGCAGACAUUCAUAAGGAGUUCCAGUAGUUUAUUUGCCAUUUGCAGGUAUUAAAAGUAAUACAUACAUUGUAAUUCCUUGUUGGAUCUCUCUCACAUACAGGACAGUACAUACCAGAGGAGGCUGCUGAGGGGAGGACGGCUCAUAAUAAUGUCUGGAACAGAGUGAAUGAAAUGGAACACAUGGAAACCACGUGUUUGAUACCAUUCCACUUAUUACACUCCAGCCAUUACAAGCCUGUCCUCCCUAAAUAAGGUCCCACCAACCUCCUGUGGUACAAACACAAACAGUAAAAUAUAUCAUAAAAAAUGCAAAGUGGUAAAAGAUCAGAAAAUAUUACAAGCCUGUCAUGUGUGAGUGUCCAGUGUGUGUUUGUCCAUUGUGUGUGUCAGUGUGUGUGUGUGUUCAGUGUGUGUGUGUGUGUGUGUCCAGAGUGUGUGUGUGUGUAUCCAGUGUGUUUGUGUGUCCAAAGUGUGUGUGUGUUUCCAGUGUGUGUGUUUGUCCAGUGUGGGUGUGUUGUGUGUGUGUCCAGUGUGUGUGUGUCCAGUGU
rnacentral:lncRNA from 1 species